UAUUAAAGGGCCGCGGUAAUUUGACCGUGCAAAGGUAGCAUAAUCAGUAGUCUUUUAAUUGGAGGCUUGUAUGAAUGGUUGGAUGAGGGACAAGCUGUCUUUUUUUUAAAGAAAUAAUUUAACUUUUGAGUGAAAAGGCUCAAAUUUCUUGGGGGGACGAUAAGACCCUAUAAAACUUUAUAUGGUUUUUCCUGAGUUAGCAGUUUAGUUUAACUUGACUUUGGUUGGAUUAUAUUUCGUUGGGGAAACGUUGAUAUAAGCUGUAAUUGUUUACUAAAAUUUAAUAAUUAUAAUUAGGUUAUGAUCCUUUUUAUGGAUUGGGAGAUUAAGUUACUUUAGGGAUAACAGCGUAAUUUUCUUUGAGAGUUCUUAUCGACAAGAGUAGUUGCGACCUCGAUGUUGAAUUAAAAUUUCAGGUUGGUGUAGCCGCUUUCCUGGUG
rnacentral:rRNA from 1 species